CCCGGUUGCCUCACCCACACAUGGGUUGCACGGGACGGUCGUCUUCACUGACCGGUCUUUUGCGAGGUGUGUGUGGGGUGGGGCAACUAGGGGGUCACUUAGUCUGCGGAACGCACGCGAAAAGUGCCAGGGAGAGUUAAGAGUAAGGUCGACGGGUCAGUGUAUAUACUCGCUAAGAGUGGUCCCGGACCCGUCGGCUGGAGAAAGAGGAGGUGAGUUUAGUUGGUAGGCGAUCCGGCACGGUGAAGCGUGGCGGAUUGAAUCCAACACACCGGGGACACCUUCCCAGACGGUCUUUAGAAGAUUCUCACCUCCCAAAAAAAAAAA
rnacentral:lncRNA from 1 species